GAUCACAGCGCUUGCAUCUCUGGCUCCGACAACAACUUUUCUUAUAAGACCUUGUCUUGUAUUGUGUGUUUUUUUGUUGUGUUUCUAUGUGUUUGCGUCGUCUGCGUUCAUUUGUUUCACUUUGGCUGCGAAAACGGCACCGAGAGAGCGCUGUUUUUCGAUCGCGAGAGAGAGGGCAGACAGAGCUAGCUACUGGUAACGUUAACUGUUAGCUAGCUUGUGAUAGCAGUAACUUUAACUGACCAGAUUGUCUUUUUUUUAAACUUACUGAAGCCACAAAAUGAUAUAUGUAUAUAUAUACAUGUAGUACUUGCUGCGACAGUACGAUGGUCGUUACUGUGUCGUUAUUUUAUAUUUUUAUGCUGCGCAAGAGAAGAGUAUUUUCCCGCCUUUCUUUUUUUCUUCACCUUCUCCGCCUCCGUAUGCGUUUUCCUUCGGGAGGCAGCACCACCAAGCACACGUCGCGACGUCCAGAAACUCGGAGAGACAAUCCUGACUGCAAAAAAAUGGAUGCUGUCGAUCGAGGGGAGGGUCAUAAUCCCACCUGCUGCUCACGUGGCUGACUUCACCACUGUCUUGGCCACUCUCUUCGCCUGUUACUAUGUUUUCAACCUAGAGUAUCAGGUGGAAACCUGCACAACUUUGGAAUUUAUUCAGAGGAUUAAUCCUGACUCCACCAAGUGCAGUGCCAAGGAGCAGAUGAGCCGGAAGACUGGGAGAGUGGUGAGGAGAAAGACUUGAUACAUGAACCCCCAUGUGAUCUCCUUCAUCAUGGAGUUCAUGAAGGCUUCACUUCAUGGAGGCUAACUGACUAGAUACAGGGCUCCUGUUUUGUCCAAGCCCAAGGAAGUUUUGUCUAAAAGGUUUGGUAAUGUGCUUUAUGUUCCUGUUCACAAAAAAAA